rnacentral:rRNA from 1 species
AGUUAAGUGAAUAAGGGCGCACGGUGGAUGCCUUGGCACUAGGAGCCGAAGAAGGACGGGACUAACACCGAUAUGUCCCGGGGAGUCGUAAGUAGACGUCGAUCCGGGAAUUUCCGAAUGGGGGAACCCACUGCUCGUAAUGGAGUAGUACUUUUAUCUGAAUUCAUAGGAUAGAAGAGGCAUACCCGGGGAACUGAAACAUCUCAGUACCCGGAGGAAGAGAAAGCAAAUGCGAUUUCCCAAGUAGCGGCGAGCGAAACGGAAACAGCCCAAACCAGAAGGCUUGCCUUCUGGGGUUGUAGGACACUCCAUAGGAGUUAUCAAGAGAUUCUUUAGAUGAAGCGAUCUGGAAAGG